rnacentral:other from 1 species
UUUUCCCUGCGGUGUUCGCGAAGGCAUACAUUCCUUUGAACCAAUAAGUUCGCUUCAGGUUGCCGAGAGUAGUGAUGGGAGCGAGCGUCGUUUAUAGUCGAUGCACCCGAAAUCACCCCGAGGUGACCGCCUUGUCAGCAAGGUUCAAGCGGAUUCAGCCUAAACGACAUUUGCGGGGAUUCA